UACGUAGGGUGCAAGCGUUGUCCGGAAUUACUGGGCGUAAAGGCUCGUAGGCGGCCAACUAAGUCAGACGUGAAAUCCCUCGGCUUAACCGGGGAACUGCAUCUGAUACUGGAUGGCUUGAGUUCGGGAGAGGGAUGUGGAAUUCCAGGUGUAGCGGUGAAAUGACGUAGAUAUCAGGAGGAACACCGGUGGCGAAGGCGGGUCUCUGGGCCGUAACUGACGCUGAGGAGCGAAAGCGUGGGGAGCGAACAGG
rnacentral:rRNA from 1 species